rnacentral:rRNA from 1 species
CCUACGGGAUGCUGCAGUGGGGAAUAUUGCACAAUGGGGGAAACCCUGAUGCAGCAACGCCGCGUGAGUGAUGACGGCCUUCGGGUUGUAAAGCUCUGUCUUCAGGGACGAUAAGGACGGUACGUGAGGAGGAAGCCACGGCUAACUACGUGCCAGCAGCCGCGGUAAUACGUAGGGGGCGAGCGUUGUCCGGAUUUACUGGGCGUAAUGGGAGCGUAGGCGGCCUUUUAAGUGAGAUGUGAAAUACUCGGGCUCAACUUGAGGGCGGCAUUUCAAAAGGGAAGUCUAGAGUGCAGGAGAGGAGACUGGACUUCCUAGUCUAGCGGUUAAAUGCGUAGAGCUUAGG